AAGCAUAUGACUACUGGCAGGAUCAACCAGGUAGCACGUCCUCAUAUGACGCCAUGCCCACUGUUGCCACCGUAGCUGAGCCAACAAUGAAGAGGCUACACCGCAGCGCACACAAUGGGCAGGCAGUCAUUCAAGUACAUAAUAUAUGACGUAUACCCCAUAGGGCAUUUCGCCAAUAGAAUACGCUGCAUCCACAAGCACUCAUGCCACCCAUUGCACCACUUUGAGAUGUAGUGAGUAAACUCACAUAAUCAUCCAAGGGGGCCAUAAGCAACACUAUGUAGCCACUCCCAUACCGCACUGGACGGAGGGAGAGGAAAAAAGAAGAUGAUAUCGAGUCACAUUUCGUGACAGACUACGUAGGCAACACAGGCAAAGCAUAAGACCCUAAUAACAUCAUUGGGUCAUAUAAUGAGGAGAUGCAGUAAGGGCGGUUAGGAGCACAAGGCACAGAGCCCACCCUUACAAGCAAAUGUCAUACAAUUAUGCACCGACACGGUAGAUUCUACCAUUUAUCACCCCAUCGCCCAUAUGCAUGUAUAUCACAA
rnacentral:misc_RNA from 1 species